GUGUACCAGGCACAUACAGGUGCCAUCCUGGCCCUUCAAAGGCAAGCAGGGGCCAUGUGUCUCUUUACAAAUGCCAGCUCUACUGAAGUGCAGAGAAAGCGCUAGCAUGGCAGGCACAGGUGGGGAAAGGAGGAAGGCACCUGCCACCAAGCCUUGCGGAUCUUCAAGCCAAGCCACCAAGCCUUGUGGACCACCUGAAUUCAAUGCCCAAGACCCACACAGUGGAAGGAGAGGCCCUGACUCUCACAAGCUGUUCCUGACUUCCAUCCAUGCCAUGGCACGCCUAUGUCCUCCACCAAGAAUAGAUAAUGUAAUAAUGUAAAAUAAAAUGAAAUGCAAGAAUUAA